AGUGAAAUUGCUGGAUCAUAUGGUAAUUCUAUGUUUAACUUUUUGAGGAACCACCAAAUUGUUUUCCAAAGUGGCAGCACCAUGUUACAUUCCCACCAGCAAU
rnacentral:pre_miRNA from 1 species